AUUGAACGCUGGCGGCAUGCCUUACACAUGCAAGUCGAACGGCAGCACGGGUGCUUGCACCUGGUGGCGAGUGGCGAACGGGUGAGUAAUACAUCGGAACAUGUCCUGUAGUGGGGGAUAGCCCGGCGAAAGCCGGAUUAAUACCGCAUACGAUCUACGGAUUAAAUCGUGGGACCUUCGGGCCUCGCGCUAUAGGGUUGGCCGAUGGCUGAUUAGCUAGUUGGUGGGGUGAAGGCCUACCAAGGCGACGAUCCGUAGCUGGGCGGAGAGGACGACCAGCCACACUGGGACUGAGACGCGGCCCAGAGUCCUACGGGAGGCAGCAGUGGGGAAUUUUGGACAAUGGGCGAAAGCCUGGUCCAGCAAUGCCGCGUGUGUGAAGAAGGCGUUCGGGUUGUAAAGAACUUUUGUCCGGAAAGAAAUCCUUGGCCCUAAUACGGUCGGGGGAUGACGGUACCGGAAGAAUAAGCACCGGCUAACUACGUG
rnacentral:rRNA from 1 species